rnacentral:lncRNA from 1 species
CACAGGGAACAGAAAUUAUAUGGAUCUAUGGAUCUCAUGUGCAAAGCAGGAAACUCAACAAGUCUGUACAAGAGGUUGGAGCUCAAACUUUUUUCUUUUUCUUUCUGCUGUUCUGAAGGAGCUUAAUUGCUUGUGAGAGUCUAUUUUUCUCCAUUGCUUCCACUCUCCAUUUUGUGUUCUCAAGUCCUAACAUCACCACUGGCAGUUGAACAGAACCAAAAAAAAGGAAACAGAGCAAGUGAAUAUAUACGAAAAAUAUGCCAGGAUGUGACACCAAUAUGGUGGAAGACUGACAGUAAUAGAUCUGGUCCAUUUCUGGGAAUUUCCCUCUCUGUUAUUAAAUGCACUGAGCUGAUUUAUACUGCAGAUUGACGUUUACCACUUAUAACUAACACAACAGGUGCAGAGGGUGCAAAAAGUUCUUGUGAUUUGCUCAAGUAGGCUUCCAGAAAACUAUCAGAGGUCUGAUCAAACAAGGACAACUACAAAUAAUAGAAGUGUCAUCACCACCACAAACACCCCAGAGGAUCCUGUGAAAUGUUCUGUGGGUUUCUGGAGCGCUUUAUAGCUGAGGAGUUCAACAUAUCAGAUGACUAUAUUAUUCUUAUAAUUUCAGGUAGGUAUUUUUUUUACCUAUAUACUAAGACUGUGAAAUAUAGACCAAAAUCUAAAUCAAAUUGUGCUGGGUUUACCCUCUGCUUAAUCACCUGUAAGAGUCCUACUAAAAAUGAUUUAUAAAGGUGUUUAGUGUUGUAUUUCAACAUCUCUCUUUCUGGAAUUUGUAGUCUCUUGCUGUGUUGUAAAUUUAUGAAAGUUGAUCUAUCUUUCCUUGGGGGAUACUUGUUUAAUGCCUGCUUUGAUGUUCAGUUUAUUCUUUGUUACUUUCUUAAUACAGCAAUUAUGAUCAAUAGAAGAGUCUUCCAGAUUUUGGAAAGAAUCUUAUGAAACUGACUGGGAAAUUAUAUAUUAAUUUUUACAAACAUUGUCUCAUAUCCUUUGUCUUUACUUCUUCAUUUUUGUAGAAUUUAUUUAUUUAAAUAUUUAUUUAUUUAUUUUGGGGGAAGGGAUGUAGCUCAGAAAUCUAUGAAGAAAAAAUAAAAUUUUGGUUAUUUUUCUGUUGAGCCA